UGGGGAAUUUUCCGCAAUGGGCGCAAGCCUGACGGAGCAACGCCGCGUGUGGGAAGAAGGCUCUUGGGCUGUCAACCACUUUUCUCAGGGAAGAAGUCCUGACGGUACCUGAGGAAUCAGCCUCGGCUAACUCCGUGCCAGCAGCCGCGGUAAUACGGAGGAGGCAAGCGUUAUCCGGAAUUAUUGGGCGUAAAGCGUCCGCAGGGGGCGCAUCAAGUCUGCUGUCAAAGGUCGGAGCUUAACUCCGGUUCGGCAGUGGAAACUGGUGCG
rnacentral:rRNA from 1 species